CUGCAAAGGGUCAACUCAAGGUCUAUUUAAGGUUGAAAUCUUAUAUGGGACUUGAAUGGGAAACAGGACUUUCACAGGGUGAAUUUCAUCCUAGUAAAGCAAGAAUGUGAUUGACCCACUUCAUGUGGUUUUCUUGGUAGAAGUAGAUCUUAAUGAGGAGUGCGUAAUGGCACUCAGUCUUGCUUUGGUUCUCCUUUUAGGCCUGUCUACUUCCAGAUCUCAUGCUAGUACAACAAACAUGUUCUGCUGAACUAGCUUCAUCUACGUAUAACUCCUGGCUUCCCCAUACAACAGCAGAGCAGGUCUGGCAGGAGCAGCACAAGCCUCCAUACAUGGGGCCUGACUCACCACUAUGUUACUCCACUAUCCCUUCUUGUGCGGUGGAUGCUUGUUUGCUGAAGCACCUCUGCCAAUAUCCAGUGUGGCUGCUGGGAGCAGGGGCUGGGGCCAAGAAGAGAGGUUUUUGCUCUCUGUGCCAUUCUCCUCCAGACUCAGCAGAUUCCCAUAAAGCUGCUUGACGACGCAUUAGGGGUGGUGUCAUAAACAGAUUGUUAAGGGUUAAUGUCUCUUGUACCUGUAAAGGGUUACAAGCAGGGAACUGGACACCUGACCAGAAGACCAAUCAGAAGACAAGAUACUUUUAAAUUUGGGUGGAGGAAGCUUUUGUGUGUGUUCUUUGUCCGUUGUGUGUUCUUCUCUCGGAGGGUCUGAGACAGACCAGACAUUACUACAGGCUCUUUAAGUUUCUUUCCAAAUAGUAAGUAAAAACAGGCGGUUUAGGCUUUUUGAUUGUUUUACUCUAUUUGCAAUUGUGGAUUUGGCUGGUUAACUUUUAUAUGUGUAGUUGCUAGGAAUAUUUUGAUUUGUAUUGGUACUGGGG
rnacentral:lncRNA from 1 species